GUACUACCUGUCAGAGGCUUGGGCACCUUGCUGAAGAUUGCUUGGUUGCAGCUGGACAAAACAAAUCAACUUCCAUACCCAAAGAUCUUCUGGGACUCUAUAGAAGAUGCAAGCAGAUAGGGAAAAGCUCAUCUGCAGCAAGGUGCAAUGAAUGUCAAUCCACGCAUAGUUUGGCGACUCGCAUAGUUUGGCGACUCGUCUUGAUUGUAAUAGAGUAAUAUGUGAUGGGUAAGUGCCUGUUAUUGGUUAAAUUACUGUAGCAUCAUGGGUUGCCUUUGCUGCUUGAGGCAUCAGUUUGCUUGUUCAGCAACUAUUUGAGUGGCAUUAGGGGACGAGUUUCUGGCUGGUACAAUAUUUAUUUCUCUUGUGGGGGUAUGUUCUGUCUUCUUCAAGUGACAUUUCUUUUAAUGUUUUUGUUGUUGAUUUUACUUUAAACUGGUGUUUUAGGGGUUGGGGAGCCUUUAAUUCCAUUUUCACUUAUUAUUACUCUGCUUUGGGACAUUUGACGGGGAUCUGGUUGGUACUGAGCCUAUGGGCAGUAAUCAUUAGCAACUUCCGUUGAUUUCUAUAAGGGAAGUUUGUAGGUUGGGUAGCAUAUGGCAGGAUAAGGAUGAUUAUGGGGACAAUGGUCAUGUCAUGUUAGUGCACUUCGUUUUAAAUCAAAUAUUGUUGACAGUGGUGACUGAAGUAAUAGAAUUCACAGUAAUUUAGGAGAUUGAUUCAUUCUGAAGCCCCAUAGAGUGUAUUGACAUACAUUUUUAAAGUAUUUUAUGCACUCACAUGGAGGAUUUCUCAGUGCAGGUCAUUUGGACGAGCACAUUAGAAUGAAUUCCUCUCACUGACGAUAUUAUUCUCACAAGCUCAAGCGUUUGGUUAGGAUUUACUUGCUCCUUUGUCUAGUCUAGUUGCGACGAUAUCUAUAUCAGUUAGUUUAUUGAUGACAUGUUAAAUUUGUAUUUGUAAGUUAGCCAUUUGGAAGAUAUUUUAGAUUCUCUCGAAAGAGUGACUCCCAUGUUAUAAAUAAACCAAUGAUGUAAACGAUGUGCCUGCUUCAUUGAACAAGUAGUUUGAGAUAAGUCACUUCAGAUUGUAAUCCUUCACACUGCACAAAAUGAUUAAAAGAAUGUGCUGCUUCAUUAAACAAGUAGUCCUGACAUAGGUCGCCUUGAGAUCCUAUGUCUCUGCAUUGCACAAAUCCAGUCUUUAAGAUUACUUCCUUUCUUUUUUGCAGGUGAAAUGCAGUAAAGCAACAUGCAAAGUGACAGACAUAUCUGAUCUUUUGGGUUGCCAUUACUGUUUUCACAAAUUCUAUGAAAUGUGUACCGCAAGUUGGAAAGGAGCAGGACUUGCAAUUAUAAGAAGGUCUAUUAGCUGCGAAGAUCAUUUUUCAUGGCAGAGAAUGAAUUUUCUGAAUGCCGGUGCAGAAGAUAGUGCGUAUAUUGUGAGUAGGCAUCCUCAAAGGAGCAAGCAUGUUCAGAUCAGCGAAGUUUCAGAAGAUGGGGUGGGGACGCGUAAGUUUCAGGAGUGGGUUUCGACUCCCACACCAUGCA